GGGGGUGUGGCUCAGAGGUACAGCUCUCGCUUAGCAUGCGGGAGGCACUGAGUUCAAUCUUCAGCACCACAU
rnacentral:tRNA from 1 species